UAUCUUUAGGAUUUGUGAUUAUGCAUACUGAUGCUUCAAAUAUGACUUUAAACCCUUUAUCACAAAAUUGACUUAUGCUAAGUAGGUUAUGUUUCAAACCCUUAACUAAUAAGACAUUUUCUAUGAAAGUAGAUGGAGUAAUAAAAAUUUUAUCCUUUCCAAUGAUAUACCCUUUUCCAUUGUCUCCAUAGGUUACUACUCCACCCUUCUUAGAUUUCAAGGUGACAAAUUGAUCUACAUCACCGGUCAUGUGUCUUGAACAGCCGCUAUCUAGAUACCAUCGUUUUUCCACUUUAUUAGCUGCAAGACACCCCUGCAAUAAAGAUCAAGAAAGAGCUUUAGGUACCCAAACUAUGUUGGGUCCUUUAGGGUUAGUACUUGAUGUUCCUUUUGGAACCAAAACUUUUUUGAAUUUAAGCUUAUGAUUAUUACUCAAUUUGUUUUGACUGGACUUUCUAUAGUUACAUUCAUAUGCUUUAUGUCCUAAUUUAU
rnacentral:lncRNA from 1 species